rnacentral:rRNA from 1 species
CAGUCGCCACGGGAAUACGUAGGUGGCAAGCGUUAUCCGGAAUUAUUGGGCGUAAAGCGCGCGUAGGCGGUUUUUUAAGUCUGAUGUGAAAGCCCACGGCUCAACCGUGGAGGGUCAUUGGAAACUGGAAAACUUGAGUGCAGAAGAGGAAAGUGGAAUUCCAUGUGUAGCGGUGAAAUGCGCAGAGAUAUGGAGGAACACCAGUGGCGAAGGCGACUUUCUGGUCUGUAACUGACGCUGAUGUGCGAAAGCGUGGGGAUCAAACAGGAUUAGAUACCCGAGUAGUCCCUGUCUCUUAUAC